GGAGCCCUAGCGGCCUCUCCAUAGAGUGCCUGGAAUGCGAGACGUCAAUGUGACGCCAUGGGACGCUACGUCACCCUCCUCCUCCCUCCCCUGGCCCAGCCGGUUCCGCGUGUGCGAGGGUGUGUGUGUGUGUGUGUGUGUGUGUGUGUGUGUGUGUGUGUGUGUGUGUGUGUUCGCGCGCGCGCUCACGCGCGUUCCCCGGCCAUUCUCAGGGACGCACAAUGGAAACCGCGGGGAGCUGCGGACCACAGCCCUGAGGCUUCUCAGAUUCGCGCCGCCAACCCCUCUGCACCGGAGCUGCUUGCCAGGGCGCCGGUCUACCGGAGGGUGCCGCAGCCCGCCCGCGGGUCAGGCGGGACCGCCCAGCUGUCAGGCUCCGGGUGGAGUAGAGUUGGAGGAGUGCUGCUGGCUCGCCUCCGAGGCUGCCCCGAGGCACCUAGCCAGGUCGAGGGGGUAAGAGAGAGGACAGCUCUUCCGAAAGGGAAGGCUACGCCAGCCAGCUUCUCCGAGUGACCUGGCAGUCACUGCUGAAGGAGUCUGGCACCAGCCCGAAGACUCCCUGAGGUGCAGCUGUGCUUUCCUCAUGCAGUGGUUCUAAGGCUGUUUACGUCUCUCUGGCCCUUUGCGCCUAGGCUAAUUUGCCUCUUCCUCCUGUCUGCUGUUGGUGUUUCGCCCUAGGAUGCAGACCGCUCCAGGGACAAGAUUUUAUUUCUUUACACUUAUGGUGUGGUGUUCUUUACUGGACACUUUAUAAUCCAAAGAAAUGCACAUCGAGCCACGCGCGCGCUGCACGAGAAACUAUAUAUAAAACAAACACACCACACGUGUUGAACAGCUGAGUGAGUCUGACUGUUAAACAGAUCCUCUACUCCUCCCCUGCACCGGGUCACACUUGGAACUCGCACUUUCACUUUUUUUGAGGGUCGUAGACGCCUCCCCUUCCAUCUCUCAAAUGAAAUAUUUCAAAAUCAAUCAACAGGAUUCAUUAAGCGGUCUCUAGGGGAUCUUUCCUAUGGCCCAUUUGUCUUCCAAGUAUGCAGAAAGUCUGGGCGACUGUAUAAGGGACAGCGAUUUCUUCCUGGAAAUGAAUUUAGGAUGUCACUUUCUUGCUGAAAACAAAGCAAACCAGACAAACAAAACCAAAACAUGUUCGAGUUUGGAACUCUUAGUUCCAAAGGUGGCUACUAAGUGAAAGUAACCUCUCUCAGAAAUGAUUGUUUUACGAAGGAAAUGUUUGAAUGAAACAACUCAGACAGACGCGGUCUCUGGUGGUCUGCUAGAAUCCCAAGUGGCAUUUUUUUUUUUUUUGACUUGAGCCUGUGGGUGGCAAAGUUGGGGGAAGAGGAUCCCCUAGUCAUAGCACAUGCCCCAGAAUCGAAGAAGGUUCGAACUGGGACCAGAAACUCGAAAACAAAACAACACGUGCAUAGUGUGCCUCUCUAAGUCUACGCCUCCACUUUCACUUUAGCAGGCUGGUGUGCUUAAGACCGUGAGAGGACGCUCGGAAAGUUGUCCCAGCCCAGAGGAACCGAGCCCCCUGGCUGCGGGUGCGUUCCCAUCCUAGCCCAGAAAGAAGGAGGGCGCUCCUACAUUGAAUCCAUUCAAAGGCUGGGGGUUGGGGGAGCAGGACCUGGAGCCGCGCGGCGCUGACGCACGCGAGGCGCGUGAUUGACGCAGGCGAUGUUACUAAAUUGGGCGGUUGGCCGGGCCCAGGCGGCGGCGCGCGCGGCAGAUAGCGGAGUAGGUUCCCCUCGGUCACCCCCUCCCGUCUCCAUUCAGCGCGGCACGGCGUGGGGCGGGGCGGGGUGGGACGCGCGCGUCCGCGCCGGGAUCCGGCGAACCAAAUAUAGACGGGUCCCGGCUAUUUUUAGUGGGGCGUCGGGCGCGCGCGCGCGCCGCACCAAGGGGCGCCCCGACUCGGCCCGGAGAGCGGACUGCAGAGUCGCCAUCUUGUACUCGGCUCGACCCGGUCUGGUGCUGGGCAACUGGGGGCCGAGGGUAGGGGGCUGGAAGGGAGGCGCGGGCGCGAGCGAGGCGCGCUGCCUAUGGCGCGCGCGCUCUCAUGGCCCAGCGCGGUACCCCCCAACUGCUCGCCCCGGGCUCUGCAAGCCUCUGGGCCAGGUCCCGCCACGGAGACUGCCGGGCCAGCCCUGACUCGCGAGGGGGCGGAGCUGCCGGCGGCCGCCACUUCCUGAGAGCCGGGGAUACCCAUCCCGGACGUCACGGAGGAGUCGAGGCGGCGGUGGCGGCCCGGGGCUCAGCCUGCACUUGCAUCAUGGGUGAAGCAGCAGCUGCCCCGAUCCUUUGUGCCCCCCCCCCCCAUUGAGUAUCUGCUUUGUUAACUGAAAAUACCAUGACGGACCAGUGUGAUCACCAGUUCCAGACCUCAAAGAAAGUGAAGCUGUCAGGCAAGAAGAGGGAGACUCCCCCAGCCGGCUGCGAUGGUAUCUGAGAUGUCUCAUUUGGUCCAGACCCUCAAAUUCACUAUGCUGUUGAAGCUGACCUUGAACUUCUGAUCUUCUUUUCUCUACCUUCAAGUGCUAGAAGAGUUAUACAUGUACUCCACCACACUCAGUUUUGUGCAGCGUUGGGGAUCGAAGGCUUCAUGAAUGCCAGGCGAGAACUUUCCCAACUGAGCUACUGACCCAGCUCCUGUCUUAAUAAAGAUAGAAUAAAGCAUGAAUACAGAAUUAGAAAA